GAGUUUGAUCCUGGCUCAGGACGAACGCUGGCGGCACGCUUAAAACAUGCAAGUCGAACGUGAAGCCCGGGCUUGCCCGGGUGGAAAGUGGCGAACGGGUGCGUAACACGUGAGCAACCUGCCCCGAAGACCGGGAUAACACCGGGAAACCGGUGCUAAUACCGGAUGCCUUCACCAUGUCGCAUGGCGAGGUGAAGAAAUGGAUUCCGCUUCGGGAUGGGCUCGCGGCCUAUCAGCUUGUUGGUGGGGUAACGGCCUACCAAGGCAACGACGGGUAGCUGGUCUGAGAGGAUGUCCAGCCACACUGGGACUGAGACACGGCCCAGACUCCUACGGGAGGCAGCAGUUAGGAAUCUUGCGCAAUGGGCGAAAGCCUGACGCAGCGAUGCCGCGUGCGGGAUGAAGGCCUUCGGGUCGUAAACCGCUUUCAGCAGGGACGAUGAUGACGGUACCUGCAGAAGAAGCCCCGGCCAACUACGUGCCAGCAGCCGCGGUAAUACA
rnacentral:rRNA from 1 species